CUUCAGUGUCCCCUCACUGCUUUGCUCUUUAACAGUGUGAAGACUCCUGGGAGGGUGACACAUUACCAGAAAGGUGUGGGCCACUGCCUUUAGGAUUGGUGCAAUUUAUGGUAAUGGAGGGGAGAAAGGUAGGUAACCAGGAGGGAGACAUGGAGGCCUCAAGACAAACCUCUCCUCUCUCACAAUUACAGGGAAGGCUGAAUCAUUAAGGACAUGAAUCAGAUUGAUUCUCGUGGCUUUAAAAACAAACACCACAGGACCAGCGUGACCUGACAGCCUGUUCUUAUCCACAGAGGCUUGUGGUCUCCAUCGAAAAGAAGCAAAGACAGCACGUCCCAACUCAAAAGAUUGUGUCAUCCUAAAGGGGAAUCUGUGCAUCUGAAGAUGGCUCCUGUCCUUUCGCAACAUGGCAGCAAGCCAUGUGUUUGAGACAUGCAGA
rnacentral:lncRNA from 1 species